AGGGCAAUUGGUGGAUGCCUUGGUGCCAAGAGGCGAAGAAGGACGUGGAAGGCUGCGAUAAGCCUCGGUGAGCCGUCAAACAGGCUUUGACCCGGGGAUUUCCGAAUGGGGCAACCCACCUGGAGUAAUGUCUAGGUAUUCCCACUAUGUGGGAAGGCGAACCCGGGGAAGUGAAACAUCUCAGUACCCGGAGGAGAAGAAAUCAAGAGAGAUUCCCUAAGUAGCGGCGAGCGAACGGGGAUUAGCCCAAACCCUGUACUUUCGAGUAUGGGGGGUUGUAGGGCCUCAAUAUAGUGAUCCAGGAUUAGAUAGCGGAAUUAUCUGGGAUAGAUAAGCCAUAGAAGGUGAAAGCCCUGUACGCGAAAUUGAAACUGGCGCUUAGAGGUACCUGAGUACCACGGGACACGAGGAAUCCCGUGGGAAUCUGGGAGGACCAUCUUCCAAGGCUAAAUACUCCUUGGCGACCGAUAGUGAACUAGUACCGUGAGGGAAAGGUGAAAAGAACCCCUGUUAGGGGAGUGCAAUAGAACCUGAAACCAAUUGCCUACAAGCAGUUCGAGCCUGUCUUCGGACGGGUGAGAGCGUGCCUUUUGCAUAAUGAGCCAGUGAGUUAAUCUAACGUGCGAGGUUAAGCCGGCGAGGUGUAGCCGUAGCGAAAGCGAGUCUGAACAGGGCGAUUAGUACUUUGGAUUAGACCCGAAGCCGAGUGAGCUAUCCAUGGGCAGGGUGAAGCUUGGGUAAAACCAAGUGGAGGCCCGAACCAGUAAAGGUUGAAAACUUUUUGGAUGACCUGUGGAUAGGGGUGAAAGGCCAAUCAAACUCGGUGAUAGCUGGUUCUCCCCGAAAUAUAUUGAGGUAUAGCCUCGGAUGUUCACUUGCGGAGGUAGAGCACUGAAAGGGCUAGGGGCCCCACCAGGUUACCAAACCCUAUCAAACUCCGAAUGCCGUAAGUUUAGAGUCCGGGAGUCAGACUACGGGUGAGAAGGUCCGUGGUCGAGAGGGAAACAGCCCAGACCGUCGGCUAAGGUCCCUAAAUAUGUGCUAAGUGGGAAAAGAGGUGGGACUACUCAGACAGCCAGGAGGUUGGCUUAGAAGCAGCCAUCCUUUAAAGAAAGCGUAAUAGCUCACUGGUCUAGUGGUUCUGCGCUGAAAAUGUACCGGGGCUCAAGCACAUUACCGAAGCCACGGGUGCCAUGUUUACAUGGUGCGGUAGGGGAGCGUUCUCUUAUGGGAUGAAGGUAGAUCGGAAGGUCUGCUGGACUUUAGAGAAGUGAUUAUGCUGGCAUGAGUAACGAUAAAACGGGUGAGAAACCCGUUCGCCGUAAACCCGAGGUUUCCUGGGUAAAGCUAAUCUGCCCAGGGUUAGUCGGCCCCUAAGGCGAGGCUGAAAAGCGUAGUCGAUGGGAAACAGGUUAAUAUUCCUGUACCCGCUGAUUGAUCGUUUGAGUGAUGGGGGGACGCAGGAGGGUAGGUCAUCCGGGUGUUGGAUAUCCCGGUUCAAGCCUGUAGGCUGAAGAUUUAGGCAAAUCCGGAUCUUCUUAAGGCCGAGAGGUGAUGACGAGUCUUUAAAGACGGAAGUGACUAAUCCCAUGCUGCCAAGAAAAGCCUCUAAGCGAGAUCAAUUGGUGGACCGUACCGUAAACCAACACAGGAGGGUGGGGAGAGUAUCCCAAGGCGCUUGAGAUAACUCUAGCUAAGGAACUCGGCAAAAUGACCCCGUAACUUCGGGAGAAGGGGUGCUUCUCCAGGUGAUUAAAUUUACUUUAUGAGCCUGGGGAAGUCGCAGCGAAAUGGCGGUGGCGACUGUUUACUAAAAACACAGGUCUCUGCGAAGUCGUAAGACGACGUAUAGGGACUGACACCUGCCCGGUGCCGGAAGGUUAAGGGGAGAUGUUAGCUUUCGGGCGAAGCAUUGAACCGAAGCCCCGGUAAACGGCGGCCGUAACUAUAACGGUCCUAAGGUAGCGAAAUUCCUUGUCGGGUAAGUUCCGACCUGCACGAAUGGUGUAACGAUCGCCGCACUGUCUCGGCUAGAGACUCAGUGAAAUUGAAUUCUCGGUGAAGAUGCCGAGUACCCGCAGAAAGACGGAAAGACCCUGUGCACCUUUACUACAGCUUGACAUUGGACUUUGGGCUAUCAUGUGUAGGAUAGGUGGGAGGCUUUGAACCUUGUACGCCAGUAUGAGUGGAGCCAACCUUGAAAUACCACCCUUGGUAUUCUAGAGUUCUAAUCCCGACCUGUGAAGCCAGGCGGGAGACAUUGUCUGGUGGGUAGUUUGACUGGGGCGGUCGCCUCCUAAAGAGUAACGGAGGCGUGCAAAGGUUCCCUCAGGCUGAUUGGAAACCAGCCGUUGAGUGCAAAGGCAUAAGGGAGCUUGACUGUGAGAGAGACAUCUCGAACAGGAACGAAAGUUGGUCUUAGUGAUCCGGUGGUCCCGCAUGGAAGGGCCAUCGCUCAUCGGAUAAAAGGUACGCCGGGGAUAACAGGCUGAUCGCGUCCAAGAGUUCACAUCGACGACGCGGUUUGGCACCUCGAUGUCGGCUCAUCACAUCCUGGGGCUGGAGCAGGUCCCAAGGGUACGGCUGUUCGCCGUUUAAAGUGGUACGCGAGCUGGGUUUAAAACGUCGUGAGACAGUUUGGUCCCUAUCUUCUGUGGGCGUAGGAGACUUGAGAGGGUCUGUUCCUAGUACGAGAGGACCGGAAUGGACGAUCCUCUAGUGGGCCUGUUGUCGCGCCAGCGGCACAGCAGGGUAGCUAUGAUCGGUCAGGAUAACCGCUGAAAGCAUCUAAGCGGGAAGCCAGCCUCAAGAUAAGGUCUCCCUUGACUUCGGUCACUGAAGGACCCUGGAAGACUACCAGGUAGAUAGGCCGGAAGUGUAAGCAUGGCAACAUGUUCAGCUAACCGGUACUAAUAGUCCGUGCGUCUUAACC
rnacentral:rRNA from 1 species